AGUGAACGCUGGCGGUAGACCUAACACAUGCAAGUCGAACGGCAGCACAGUAAGAGCUUGCUCUUACGGGUGGCGAGUGGCGGACGGGUGAGGAAUACAUCGGAAUCUACUUUUUCGUGGGGGAUAACGUAGGGAAACUUACGCUAAUACCGCAUACGACCUACGGGUGAAAGCAGGGGAUCUUCGGACCUUGCGCGAUUGAAUGAGCCGAUGUCGGAUUAGCUAGUUGGCGGGGUAAAGGCCCACCAAGGCGACGAUCCGUAGCUGGUCUGAGAGGAUGAUCAGCCACACUGGAACUGAGACACGGUCCAGACUCCUACGGGAGGCAGCAGUGGGGAAUAUUGGACAAUGGGCGCAAGCCUGAUCCAGCCAUACCGCGUGGGUGAAGAAGGCCUGCGGGUUGUAAAGCCCUUUUGUUGGGAAAGAAAAGCAGCAGGUUAAUACCCCGCUGUUCUGACGGGACCCAAAGAAUAAGCACCGGCUAACUUCGU
rnacentral:rRNA from 1 species